rnacentral:tRNA from 1 species
GCUCUUAUGGCCAAGUUGGUAACACCUCACUAGUAAUGAGGAGAUCGUAGGUUCGAAUCCUGCUGAGAGCA